UACAGAGACUGCAAGCGUUAUUCGGAUUCACUGGGCGUAAAGGGUGCGCAGGCGGCCGUGUGUGUUAGGCGUGAAAGCCCGAGGCUCAACCUCGGAAUUGCACCUAAAACUACACGGCUAGAGUACUGGAGAGGGUAGCAGAAUUCAUGGUGUAGCAGUGAAAUGCGUAGAUAUCAUGAGGAAUACCAAUGGCGAAGGCAGCUACCUGGACAGUUACUGACGCUCAGGCACGAAAGCGUGGGGAGCAAAAGGG
rnacentral:rRNA from 1 species